UUUUUUUUUUGUUUUAUCUGGGUGGUAGGGAUUGAACCCAUGGCUACCUCAGUGGUAUAAUUUACUAUGUUUAUAUCAAAAUACAGAAAUUUAGUUUAAUCAUGCAUGUUUGGUAGAGUAUUCAUGAUGGAAAGAUAGAAUGAAAGUCUCUGUGGAUAAUAACAUAUAAAAAAGAACAAUAAAGAAAUUAAUGAGGUUGUUUUUUGGUGGAGUUUAUUUAUUUAUUUAUUUAUUUAUUUAUUUAUUUAUUUAUUUAUUUAUUUAUUUAUACUGGGGAUUGAACCCAUGGGUUCAAUUAACCACUGAGCCACAUCCUCAGACCUUUUUAUUUUUAAUUCAGAUACAGGGUCUUGCUAAGUGGCUUAGGGUCUUGCUAAGUUUUGAAGGCUGGUUUUGAACUCAUGAUCCUCCUGCCACAACCUCCUGAGCUAUUGGGAUUACAGGUGGGUGCCACUGCACCCAGCCAGUUAAGGAGUUUCUGAGGAAUUCUUUUCUUGUAAUUCUUCUUUUGUUCCCACAAGUAACAUGUAAUAUGCUAACUGAGGUAACCAUCUGCUUUUCCUCUCACUCCUCCCCUUCUGAGUUCCUUUGAUCCUACUGAUAAUCAGAACAUCAAGAAUAUCCUGCAAACCACUCAGCCACUCAAAACUUGUCAAAGUUGCAGGUGCUUUCCUCUAAAGUUUGUUUUAAAGCCGUGGAAAGAGCUUUUUCUUUUUCUUUUUCUUUUUUUUUUUUUUUGGGUGAGAGUCAGGAAGGAAGAACUGGUUGCUCAAAGACAACACAUCUAUCCCGACAUUCCUGUCUUCAUGAAUUUUUGAUUCCUUCCUAUACUGUUAGUAUUUAGAUAUGAAGCGUUCCCCAGACUCAUGUGUUGAAAGAUUUAUCCCCACUGUAGCAAUGUUUAGAUGUGGGGCUUUGGGGAAGUAAUUUGAUUGUGAGGGUAUUAACCUCAUCAAUGAACAUAUCCAUUAAUGAGUUCUUAGCUGAUGACUUUGUGAAGAAGUGGUGGAAACUGAAGGAGAUAGAGUCUACUGAGGAAACAGGUCAUUGGGGGCAUUCCCUGGAGGGCUAUGUCUUGUCCCCAGCCCCUUCCUUCCUCCUCUCUCUGCUUCCUGCCACCAUGAGGUGAUCACCUCAGCUCCACCAUGCCCCCUUUGCCAAGAUCCUCUGCCUCACCACAGGUCUGCAGUGAUGGAGCCAGAUAAGCAUCAACUGAAACCUCUGAAACUGUGAUCAAAAUAAAUCUUUUUCCUCUUCCAAGUUGAUUUUCUCAUGUAUUUGGUCACAGUGAAGAAAAGCUAAUGCAAAUACCUUGUAUCAAAUACUUUCUGACUCGAAUCCUGCUUAGUAAGGCCACCACUAACUCACAUUGAAAACUAAGUCAAACUGUAGAACAGCCUAUGCUGCUCAAGAUAUCACCAAAAGUCCAAAAUCUUUGAUUGACCUUCCCAUGUCCACACAUUCAGCCUGAACUCUACCAUAAUUGCUCUCUUUCCUGGGUCCCUUUUCAUGUGUAUUCUCCUUUCCUUUCUUCUAAUUAUUUCUCUAUGUAAAUCUUUCUCAGACAUUCAUUUAUUUUAUCAUUAGGUUCCUGAGUUAUGCUCAGAUCUGACUCCAGCUGUCAGUCUGAAGGUAAUAGAGGACUGUCGGGGCAGGGCAUACAGCUAAGAGGUUUUUCCUUGCAGCAUUAUUGCCUCAGAUGAGUUCAUUACAGGGUUGAGUAAGAAGUAGAAGGAGGCUGGGGUGUAGCUCAGUGGAAAAGUAAUGUCUGAUAUGUGAGGCCCUUGGUUCAAGCUCUAGCACCUUAAAGAAAUGGAAGAAAUUUAGCAGAACCAUCAUAUCUGACCUAACCAUCCAUCUAUAUUUAUCUGCCUAGCCCCAUACCAAAUGGAGAACACAUAUUGUUAGCAGGUACAAAUACUUAACUAAUAAAAUUCUUCAGUGUAUGAGAACAUAAAUGAACAACGUUCCUGAGGCUUUAUUUCAUAUAGAUCCUUCUCAUAAAUUCAAUGUAAUAAAAUUAGGUACUGGGGCUGGAGAUGUGGCUCAAGCGGUAGCGCGCUCGCCUGGCAUGCGUGCGGCCUGGGUUCGAUCCUCAGCACCACAUACAAACAAAGAUGUGUCCACCAAGAACUAAAAAAAAUAAACAUUAAAAAAAAAUUCUCUCUCUCUUUCUCUUUAAAAAAAAUAAAAUUAGAUACUGAUAACAAUGGUCUCAUGAAGUGAUUCAUUUGCCAACUUUAAAAAUUUCAAAAAAAUUGUGAUUCAAAACAAGACCAAUGGAAUACUUAUAAAGGGCUCAAUAAUGAAUGCACUUAAAUGUAAAGGCAUUAAAAUUUAUGGCCUUAAAAGCAUUUGUUAUGAAAGAAUAAAGAAUGGAAAUAAGAGUGUUAAGUGCUAAAGUACACAGACAAUACAACAAAAAAAUAUCAAGGAAGAAAGGAUAUAAUGAAGACAAAACUAAAAAUUAAAGCAAUUAAUUAAAGCAAGUGGGAAAGUUAAUGAUAUGAUGAAAACAACAGAGGAGUCCUGCUGUGGUGAGCCUGGAAGCCCAGGACGCAGGCCAGGGUGGAGUCACUGUAGGGCAGAUCUUGGUUGUGGUAGCAAAUAUUCAAAUGAGAACUUUGAAGGCUGAAGUGGAGAAGGGUUCUAUGUGAGCAGCAACUGAACAUAGGACAUUUGGCUCUCCUUCUUCAAACAAUGUGACAGAACAUGUGACACAAUAUGCAAUGGGGUCAUAGAAUUUGAAUAUUUUUCUCUUGGAUGACUGUAAAAUGCAUAGUAGGAGGCAUCUAUCUCUGAAGAGGAGGGAUCUAAGUGAUCUUCAAGGAAAGAUAGAAGGAAUGAGUCCUGGAUACUGAAAGACCUCUGAAGACCCCAACUACUCAGUGAGGGAGCACACUAGGUCCUCCAGAGAUCAGUUUAUUCAGCGCAGGCUACAGUAGACGAGGAAGCAUCUGCAUCAGCAACAGUGUGGUUUUAAGGACUUAAAUCAUCCCCCACGGAAAGUGCGUGGUUAUGACUGGCAUAUCUGUUGUCAGUUUUCUAUUGGGCUCCUGGGCCGGUGAUGGCCCUUUGGUGGGCUCCGUCCUGGGCCCCUUCUCUUAGGAAGAAGAACAGGAAGCCUAGAGCCUAAAGCCCUAGGGGUGGUCGCCAUUGUUGGGCGGUGGCCUGGCCCUGUUCUGGUUCUGAGCCCAACAGAUACUCUUCCCCUUGGAUCAAACUUCUGUGUUUUCUACUAUGCCUUAUUUCUUCUGUGAAAUGAGAACCCAAAAUUCAAUAAAUAAAUUAAUAAAUGAAUAAUAAAAAAUUUAAAGAAGAAAAAGAAAACAAAAUGAAGCCUGACUCAGUGGUGCACACCUAUAUCCUAGUGACUAGGGACACUGAGGCAGGAGGAUCUCAAGUUUGCAGCCAGGUUUAGCAACUUCCUGAGAUCCUGUCUCAAAAUAUAAAAUUAAUUUAAAAAGAGGCGGGGCUGGCAAUGCAGAUCAGUGGUAAAGCACUUCUAGGGUCAAUUCCCAGGGGUGGGGAGAAAGAAAAGAAAAAAAGAAAAAAAAACUUCAUGCUCAAAAGUUAGAAAACCAGAUGAAACAUUUUUCUAUCUUUUUUUUUCUUUCUCUUCUUUUCUUUUCUUUUCUUUCCCAGGGAUUGAACUUGGAGGCAUUUGACCACUGAGCCACAUCCCUAGCUCUAUUUUGUAUUUUAUUUACAGACAGGAUCUCACUGAGUUGCUUAGCACCUUGCUUUUGCUGAGGCUGGUUUUGAACUUGUGAUUCUCCUGCCUCAGCCUCUGGAGCUUCUAGGAUUACAGGCAUGCACCCUGGUGCCAGGCCUUAGACAUUUUUCUAGAUGGGAAUGGAAAUUACCCAAAUGGAUUUAAUUUCAAAUGCAAAACCUUAUUGAAGCAGGCCAGAGAUCCCCACCCAGAAAACCCCUGUCAUAAUUAAGCCUCUCUAGAGAUCCUCAAAAAUUCUGUUUAGUAUAAUUGUUCUUAGACUAUCAAUCAGCAAGAAUUUCUACAACAGAGUUUUUAGGAGGAGGCUGUGUUUGCAGAGACAGAAUGUGAUAAGGGACUCAAGGCCUCCAACCUGGGUCUGGAGCCUUCACAGAGGCAUUUGCAUCUCAAAGGACUGUCGUCAGGUCCUGGGGGAGCCAGCUGGUGAGAAGAAAGGGGAGGGAGACUCUCCCUUUCUCAGACACUGAUUUCACCAAGUGUCCUUGACCUGAAUUGGGUGCCCAAAACAGUGAAAAAGCUGCUUUUAUGUGAGCUUCUACAGAUUGGGAGCCCCUCCCCUUACACACUGGGUAUAAAGUUCUAAGACUUUCUGAACUCGAGAUUCAGAGAGGUGAUUUGGAGGGGAAAAAGCCCCCCUUGAUAGACCGAACCUGAUUUUCUCUUAAAAUUGGGAGCCAUCUCGCCACAAAGCCAUGAAAAGAUAAUUUCGGCUUUACUAUAAAUUACUGCAAAUUCUGAUCUAGCUUGGAAUGCCUGCCUGUGCCUUGAACUCAACCAUGCCUGGCUCUCUGACCAGAUAGCAGCCCUCUCUGAAACUUUAGUGACGCCUCACAAAUCUUGGCUUUCUCUGGCCAAAUAACGACCCUCUCUGAGGCUCUAAUGACCUUCAUAAAUUCUGAUGUCGGGACCAGCAAAAAUAUAAACUACCAUUUGUGUUAUGCUCGUUAGAGUUUUGUUAUUUGUUACCCCCCUUUGUGUAACUUUCUGGGCUAUAAAGCUGGGCUGCAGGAAAGAAGUGGCUGCUGUCUUCUUCCCAUGUUUUGGGUGGGAGAGGCAGCCGGGCCAGUCAAAAUAAUAAACUUGCUUUAAUUUGAUUUUAAUUGGAGUCAGUGGUUUUUCUUGCAUCCUGAUCUAACAUUUUGGAGUUCCCCAGUGAGAUGACCCUGCCAGAGCAGACCACAAGACCAGACUGCUAGAAAUUCUAAAGCUGGCCUUCGCUCCAGGGCUCCAGGCUGCAGAGCCACUCUAGGGGGUGAGCACCCUGAGACAUCCCAAGGCCUCGGAGUAAGCCUCAGUCCCCGGAGAACUGAAGUGAACUGCUGCACUAAAACUAUCAGCAAGCAUCUGGUGGAGGAGGCCUCCAUAGGUAAGUGGCGCCUUUAUAACAUCUGGUAUUCGGUUAAGGGAGAUCUCUUUUGAAGACAGAGAGGUGGCCUUGCGAGGCUCACAUAUACUCCUUUCCGUGAUAGUAAUGAGAAAUCGUUCUGUCCUCUGUUCUGUUCUGUAGGGAAUUCCUCUGGCAGGGUAGAGAGGUGCUGACAGGCACGCACGCACUCCUACCCUGGGAGCUUUAGUGAGACGUUGCAUUGCUCCUCUGUUUUUCUGUUUUGGCGCCGGAUUUCUGUUUUCUUGUGUUUUUGUUCUGUGUUCUAUGUUUUUUUUUUUUUUUUUUCCUGCCUUUUGUUGUGUGACUUCUGUGGUAAAAACUUAAGGAUAUUGGACAUGAAAAUGGGUAAUAAAGCAAGUAAGCCUGACACCCCUUUGAACUGUGUUUUAAGGAACUGUGAUGAACUUUACCCCACUUUGUUAAGCAGGAUGAGAGAAGCCCCUAGCUGGCUGCCUGGAGGACACCCACUGCAGAGGGCAAUGCCCGCUGGGGAUCUAAGAACUGAGUAUCUCCCAGAUUAACAAGUGAAAUUCCUUUAAAACCCCUUGUCCCUAUAGAUCAAGAGAGUCACAACUUUUGGGGUGGAGUCCCCUUGCUUCUUCUUUGUUAGCAAAGCAAUAAAUCUCCCCUUUUCUUUUUCUCAAAACCUUGUCCUCAUUAUUAAAUUGGCAUUAAUUGGCUUCAAGGUCAGGAACCAAACUUUCAGUUACAAAUUUUGACCCCCUGGGAACUUUUUGAGAGCUGACUAUUGAAAUGUUAGGAGAUGGAGCAUGUCUGGAGUGGAACCCAAACAGAGGAACUAAUCCUGUAAGUAAAAGGAGGGACUGAGGGACUCCCAGGAGCUGCCGAAGCCCUUUUGCUUGGGGAAUUCCCCGCCUUCCUUCCCUGCACUGUAAGGAUUAUGCCACCUCUGUCUACUUAAAAAAAGAGAAAAAGAAAAAGGGGACACUAAAUGCAGUAAAGUCGCCACCGAGACCCUUGAUUUUACAUUUCAGAUUGCCCCUCUGUGAAAACAUCUGGUCCCCUUGUGGGGACAUCUAUGGUGCCACUGGUGUAGGAGAUUUUUCUCUUAUCUGCUCUGUUUUAAAGGUUUCUCUCUGUCAGCCAUAGUCUUGAGCUCCUUUCUGUCUGUCUGUCCUGUGUCUUUGUUUGUUUCUGGCCCUUUAAGACAUGUGCAAUAAUGUGUUGAUAUUAUAAAUUGUUUCUUGGGAAUGAUCUUGGCUGAAUGUGUGUCUAAAAGAUGAUGUUUUAUUGUAACAAUCUGGUAUCUGAAUGGGUUUCUGAAGCAUUGCACAAUCUUGCAGUUAAAAGUUGGAUACAGAUAAUUGUUUAGUUUAUGAGUUCAGAUAAUUCAUGCCAGAGAACUUAAAUACUUAGGAUGGUAAACUAAAGAACUCUGCUUCCAAGUUGGCAAGUGACUCCCAAUCAUUCAGUUUUUUUUUUUUUUCACCAAUUUUUGAAUUGGGUAGCCUGGGAAAAUGACACUGUGUGUACCAGUGCAUUAAUUUGGACAAGGAUAGUAAAUCAUAGUAUGGUAUCUGUUGACAAAACAAGAUGUAAAGAUAUAAAAUUUUGUGAAUUGUAUCUUAAACUUGUAUCAUAAUUUUCAACAUCUGAACCUGAAAAUUAUAACUUAUGGUUCAAAUGCCUUAGGCAUGAGGUGUCUGCUCAGAAGAGCAGUUUUUUCCUGCUCCUUACAGACCUCAGCCAGGACUUGUGUUGAAAUGCAAAUGAAAGAAGCCUGCAAGCUCAGUAGGAGACUGAUCUGAGGCCUAAGGGGGAAAAAAAUAAAUUGUAUGGUAUUUACUAAUUACUGGCCAGUCAUUUUUUCUAGGAUUUUUGUUUUUCUUAGAUUCUGUAUUUAUUUAUUUAUUUUUUGAGCUCAUGAUUUUGAUCCUACAGACCUAGGUUAAUGUUUUUCUGAUCAGUCCUAUCUUUGAUCAAUUGUGGAGUUUUUAAACAUUGCAAUGGAGAUUUCACCUAUGAAAAUCUACAAGACCUUUACUAUUGUGUUAUGUGUGCACACUUGUGUUAUGUGUUGUAUGUCUAUAUGUAUAUAUGAUAUACAAAUUAACAUAUAUAAGAAGCGCUCAUAAAAACAAAUUUAAAAAAAAUGGAUCCAAAAAUCUUUAAUUCACGUGAUUUAAAUGGUUCAAUUUAAAUUAGAUAAACAGAUAAAAAUAAAUGUCUUUAAAUUUAAGCUUACAAGUUUUUCUAGUUGUUCAAAAAACUAAUAAAAUAUUAAUGUCUAUAAAAUGUCUAAUAUGCCUUGGUUCUAGGACUUUUCCUUCAACAAAAAAAUGGCUAACACUGUUCAAUACACUUGUCUAAUAUUUUGAUAAAAUAAGUAAAGUAAAUUUAAAUGGGAUUACUCAUUCAUGAGUACUUUUGUUAGAUAUCUGAUUGAUUUACUAAGGUCUGUAUAAGUUUGUUUUUACAAUCAGUCAUGUGUUAAAAAGACAAAAAUUUCUUAAAACGUAAGUUUACCCAUAACAUUGGGUUUAUUAAAUUUUAUUUUUUUUUUUCUAGAGCAAGCAACCAUAAAAAUUAAACAACUGGUUAGAUACGAACUAUUAUUUUAGAGCAUUGUACUGUCAUUUCUUUAAAAGCUAAACUUGGUUAAUAUAAAAACAUCAAUGUAAUUGUGAUGCUAUUAAUGUGCUCGUAUCUUCCAGGUAUACAAGUCUGUAAGGUAGAAGUUUUGAAAGAGCAUUAUAUCAAGUUGGUGUUCUAAAGUUGUAUGGUAAAAAAUAUAUUGGAGAUUUAUUUACCUGUUAUCAAUAAGAUAUGUAAAGUUUUAUGUUACUUUUUACAUUGGGGAACAAUUUAAAUGUAUUUUUAAGUUGAUGAGAGCCUAAUCUAUGUAAAGGUUAAUAUUGUAAAGAACAAAGUAUUUUGCUAUCUUUCCACAAAAGGUUAAAACUUUCAGCUUUUCUUUAAUUCAUGUUUUAAAUAUGAUAUCAUAUGGUGUUAGCUAAUGUUCAUGUGACCUCGAACAAUUUAUGUAAACUUUGUAAAAUGAUAUUUAAAAAGCAAAAAUCAGCUUUAGAACUAGAACACUUAAGAUUUAUAAAGAGCCCUGCCUUACCUGAGAUAAGGCUCUAUGUCCCAUCUUACUACAUGUGAGAAUGACUACGAAAGCAGUAGGUCAGAUUUCAGUUUAUUUAAAGUUAUGUUCAAAAGUUGUUUUUUUUUUAUGUCAAGAUUACUAGGAUCUCAAACAGGGGAUAUAAUGUAUAACUCAGCCAAAAUUCAGGGUAGCUAUUACAUGAACUAAAUGUUUUUACUCUUGUUAAUUUUAUUUUGUAAUUUCCUUAUAAGUGAUCUAAAGAUUCCCUUUUAGUGUUUUAUAGAAGUGUUGCUUUAAGAACACAACCUGGGUUAAUUGAAGAUAAUAAGCCAUCACCUAGGAUAAUACAGAUCCCAAUUAAUAAAAAAGAUAAAUAAGUGUAAAGUUAUAGACAUUAAAGCCCAGUACUCUUAAUACAAGGCUGUUAAAAUUUAUUUGCUGGAUGUUUAAGAUUAAGUUUUAAAAUUAAAGUUAAAUUAAAAGGGCCAGAAAAACCAGUAUUUAACUCUUGCCCUCUGAGUCAGUCUGAAUCCAGGGAACAGGGGACUUCUCUAAAGAGCUUUGCAACUCUGAGCCACAUCACCUCCCAAUCAGGGAGAUUAAUGAGACCACUGGAGAACAGAAAGCCAAUCAGUGCAUUUGCAAUGAAGAGGAGGGUCAUCAGAGAAGGGAGACAUCCCUGAUGCUUCCAAGGGAAGCCAAAUGGUCAAGCAAGACCUGGACCCAUCCUAGUUCAAAUGGCACUAGCAGAACUGAGAAGCUACUCUCAAGUUUCCCCAGGAAUGACUCCCAUAAAAACUCAGCUGACUGUUAACAAUAGAUAGAAACAAAAGUCAGUUUGACUGCUUCAUCUUAAACACUUAGCAAAGACAGUUAAAACCAAAAUACAGCCAUUCCUGGGCAUUUUAAAUAAUAAUAAUAAUAAUAAUAAUAAUAAUAAUAAUAAUAAUAAUAAUUUUUAUUAUUAUUUAAGGUAUUAACUUUAUGUUAGCCCCCCAAAAUAAGUAAGACUGGAGGCUACAAAGAAGAAUUCUCAGACAAAAAUGCCUGAUAACUAUAAAAAGAGACUAUCAAGAGGAACUGCCAUAGUAGUUUUUAGUUUAAGGCCUACAGAUAUUCCUAACUUACAAAGGUAAGCUUGGUGUUUGCUAGUAUGAUUAUCCAUCCCUAAGUAACAGACACAGAGGUCAUUAGACACAGAGGUCAUUCUAGUAAAAUGAUUUUAUAAGAUCAGAUGACAUUAAGUUAUUAAACUGUAUCUUAUGAAAAAGGACAUCUGUAACACUAAAAGUUAAAUAUUUUGUUUACAAACCUGAUAACUUUAAAAAUGUUAAAUAUUUACAUUUUUAUAUAAAGGCCUUGUCCUCUCUGGCCUUAUUAUGGAGACAGCUUCUCCUGGUUAAAAAAAAAAAAAAAAUAUAUAUAUAUAUAUAUAUAUAUAUAUAUAUAUAUAUAUAUAUAUAUAUUUCUCACCUCCUGGUGUGAGGACUUCUACUAUACAGGGACAUGUUCCAGCUGCUGCAACAUUUAUUCAGUACUCAUGGUUUUUGUUUCUCUCAUAGAAGCACUCAUCCCCAGAUGACUUUACAACCUGUUCUUCCCCAACCAGACUUUAAACUGAACUGACUUCUAAAAGGAAACUCACGUCCUUCAUGCCGUGCUCACUUACAUCACUCCCUCUCAGCUCAGAAGAAGCCAAAAUGAGUGACGCCCCUCUUCUUACAACAAUGAAGUCAAAAAUAAAUACACUGUCAAUAUAAGUAAUUAAUUAAGUCAGGUCAAAUCAGGGAGACCAAUUUUGGGUGAGUUCAAAAAAAGUUGGAGACUGUUCCCUGAGGGAUUAAAAUUCCCUCUGUGCUCUUCUCCUACCCUAUCAAAGAUUUGAAAGGGACACAUAAGAAAAGGGGGAAUGAUAGACCAAACCUGAUUUUCUCUUAAAAUUGGGAGCCAUCUAGCCACAAAGCCAUGAAACGAUAAUUUUGGCUUUACUAUAAAUUCCUGCAAAUUCUGAACCUGCUUGGAAUGCCUGCCCUGCCUUGAACUCACCCAUGCCUGGCUCUCUGACCAGAUAGCAGCCCUCUCUGAAACUUUAGUGAUGCCUCACAAAUCUUGGCCUUCCCUGGCCAGAUAAUGACCCUCUCUGAGGCUCUAAUGACCUUCAUAAAUUCUGAUGUCGGGACCAACAAAAAUGUAAACUACCAUUUGUGUUAUGUUUGUCAGAGUUUUGUUAUCUGUAACCCCCCCUUUGUGUAACUUUCUGGGCUAUAAAGCUGGGCUGCAGAAAAGCUGCGUCUGCUGUCUUGUUCCUCCGGUUUUGGGUGGGAGAGGCAGCUGGGCCAGUCAAAAUAAUAAACUUGCUUUAAUUUGAUUUUAAUUGGA
rnacentral:lncRNA from 1 species